rnacentral:piRNA from 1 species
UNCGAUUAAGAUGGCAGUGGCCGUGUUAU